UUGAUUAGUAAUUGCUCUAUGAGAGUCAUAUAUGACGGUUGUAUGACUCACUUUUCCUUCAUUUUGACUUUUGAGCCAUGAAGACAAUGGUCAAUUGAGGAGUUUUCGUAGCUGUUGGUCAUCACUUUCAUGUUUUGGUUCAAAAAUUCUGGUAAUUUUCGAUAUGCUUCUCUUCUUUCACUACUCCAUUUUGACAUUUAACCACUUUAAUAUGUAAUAUAUCACAUAUAAAACAAAAGAAAUCUUGUCAUCACGAAGAUAUUUUUGAGGUAGCCAAGGAAGGUGUACUGUUCGAGCAAUGAAGUUGAACAAAACUAGGUGGAGUAUCUUCCAACAUUCUUGUCUAAGUGGAAUGUUUUGAAGCAUUCCGGUUGGUCAAGUCUGCUUGUUGCGAUUUUCAGCUCUUAAUGAAUCCACCUUGAUAAAGGCUCUUAAGCUCUCUCUGCUUUUAUGAUUGUUGGUUGCUUCUUUUUAUUAUGGUAAGUUUCUCCUUUUGGGCCUUCAGUUACAAUGACAGAAAACUUGCAAUUAUCUAAAAAUUUCCAUUAACUUUAUUCUAUACUGAACGUGGUCUUGAGUUUGAGUUUUUGUGCUUUGCAGUGAUUUUAGGCACAAAGCUUGACAGGGAACCUCAUCGAUGGCUCUUACUUCUUUACUUUUUGAAAGUCUUGCAAUUCCUUGCUGAACAAGAUCUUGCUUCAGUUGAAUAGUAACAUCUAGGAUGGCAUUCUCUUUCGCUCUGUGCCUCAGAUGGCCAAAGUC
rnacentral:lncRNA from 1 species